CGUAAUAUUGGCAGAAAUAGAGUAGGGUUUGGACUUGGGAGGGUUUCGGUUCUGUUCAUAAGGAUGCAGUUUUAUAAUGGUCUGAUCAAUAGCCUGUAAACUACAUUAUGAUUUUUACCGAGGACUUAACAACUCUAUGGCACCGGAACCAUGCAGUCACAGCUACUUGUGGUUGUGGUGCGGUGGGUGAAAGUGGAACAAAGUAACAGAAAAAUCUGGCAAAUGGGUCUUUAUUGCGUAUGAUUUUUACUUUACUCCUUUGCUUUGUUGGAUCCAUGGGUUCCUGGUAUGAAUGACUUGAUGACUACCAUGAAUUUGGCUACUGUUUGGGCCACCUCAUUACUUAUUGUGCUUCUGCAUCUUCUUCUUCUUCUCUCCGCCUCUUCUCCACCCAGAGGUAUGUUUUUUGAAGACAAAACCAGGCUUGGAUCCACCCCACCAAGCUGCCAUAACAAGUGCAACGAGUGCCACCCAUGCAUGGCUGUGCAAGUGCCUAGCAUGCCCGGCCGCGCCAGCCGGUUGGACUCACCUUCGGCUUUGCCAAUGAGAUUUUUUGACUCGUCCUCUCAAGGGAACAGAUACUCAUUUUACAAGCCAUUGGGUUGGAAAUGCCGCUGUGGAAACCACUUCUUCAAUCCGUAGACCAAAUUUGCAUGGCCACUAUAGAGGGUUGGUCUUCUGGCUUUGUAAAUGACAUUGAGUUGUUCCUUCUUCUUUUCUUUUUAUUAUUAUAAGGAUGGAAUUCUUUGUUCAGAGAUAAGCAGGUUGUUCGGUUUUUGCAUUUAAUGUACAUAUACUCCAACUCUAUACUAUCUAUCACCUAGAGAGAUCAAAAUUUACCCUACAUUUUAGUUCUAGUUCUACCUAUAUGGUUCCAUUUUUUUAUUGUUUUUUCUUAUUGAGGAAAAACAUCUAAGCUAGAUAAUAUAGAAACUCCUUUUGUUUGGUGUUUUUCUUUGUAA